rnacentral:lncRNA from 1 species
CUGUAACCCUGAGACCGGUGAUGUGAGCAAGCCUGGGCUGGCCUAAUAGAGAGGCCUUAUGCAGCAGGGCUGAGCCCAGGCAGCAGCCUGCCUAUGUCCAACCAGCCAAUUGCCAGACACGUGAGUGAGGUCAUCUUAGGCCAUCCAGCCCCAUUUAAGACCCUAGAGGACUACAGACACAUGAAUGACUCCAGGGAAGACCAGCAGCAGAACCACUCCGGUGACCUCAGCCCAAAUCGCUGAUCCAGAUUCAUGAGCAAGCCGUUAAGUCUGGCCAUGGUUUGUAACGCAGUGAUCAAUAACUGAUAUAGAAGAAAGCCAUCCUGAGGAUUUGACAGCAUGGGAAGGAGUUGAAGAAUCCAGAGAAACAGAACCAGGCUUUAUUGACCUACCCCUGAAGCUGCAUUACCUGUGGACCUUCAGUUACGGAAGUUACUGUGUUACCUUUAGUAUUCAAGCCACAUUGUUUGGGUUUUCUCUUACUUUCAAUAAGAGCAUUCUCACUGACAAGAACAAAAGGUCCUGCAGAGAGAGAAGACCACGAGAAGCAAAAAGCAGCAAGAUGACUGGAAAGAUUCAGGAAUUGGGAGCAGUGAAUAACUCAAAGUGCAGUGGAGGUUGGUGCUGAACAUCAGCAUUAGCUGACAAUUUGUAAAAGAAGCAGUUCCUGGCCAGGUGCCAUGGCUCACGCCUAUAAUCUCAGCACUUUGGGAGACCAAGGAGGGUGUAUCACGAGGUCAA